rnacentral:rRNA from 1 species
CCUACGUGAGGCAGCAGUGAGGAAUAUUGGUCAAUGGGCGCGAGCCUGAACCAGCCAAGUAGCGUGAAGGAUGACUGCCCUACGGGUUGUAAACUUCUUUUAUAAAGGAAUAAAGUGAGGCACGUGUGCCUUUUUGUAUGUACUUUAUGAAUAAGGAUAGGCUAACUCCGUGCCAGCAGCCGCGGUAAUACGGAGGAACCGAGCGUUAUCCGGAUUUAUUGGGUGUAAAGGGAGCGUAGAUGGGUUGUUAAGUCAGUUGUGAAAGUUUGCGGCUCAACCGUAAAAUUGCAAUUGAUACUGGCAGUCUUGAGUACAGGUGAGGUAGGCGGAAUUCGUGGUGUAGCGGUGAAAUGCUUAGAUAUCACGAAGAACUCCGAUUGCGAAGGCAGCUUACUAAACUGCCACUGACAUUGAUGCUCGAAAGUGUGGGUAUCAAACAGGAUUAGAUACCCCAGUAGUC